ACCAGGCAGGCAGAAUGGAAACCGCAGGAGUUUGGAGGAUGUUGGACAAGAUGAAAGGAAAGGCAACGCAGCAGCUGGUGGUGCUGAUGGACAGCUCCUUGUCUCCCAGCAUGUGAAGGCUAUUCUCUGGGCAACGGACAGCGCUGUGGUCCCCAGAAAAAUGGAAUUGUCGUUGGCAUUUUAUUACUGGAGUCAUCAAAUAUGACUCUAUCUUGAAUCUUUGUUACUGUUUUUGUAAGGGGACACUGGUAGACAGAAGGACGUGUACAGCAGUACACAUUCCACCAGGGAUCCCCUUUCUCACCUGACAUGCCAUGGAUGCAGAUGUUUGGGUAGAGGAGUGCACUAGAGUUCUAGGUGCAGGGUCUAUUCCAGAGCACCCCCAUCUGGUCACAUC